CGGGCGCGACGCCGGUCUAAGUCCCUUGGAACGGGGCGUCAUAGAGGGUGAGAAUCCCGUAUGUGACCGGUGACCAAGCCUAUAUGAAACUCCUUCGACGAGUCGAGUUGUUUGGGAAUGCAGCUCAAAAUGGGUGGUAAAUUUCAUCUAAAGCUAAAUACCGGCCAGAGACCGAUAGCGCACAAGUAGAGUGAUCGAAAGAUGAAAAGCACUUUGGAAAGAGAGUCAAAAAGUACGUGAAAUUGUUGAAAGGGAAGCGCUUGCAACCAGACCUGUCCGCGGGUGAUCAGCCGUCCUUUUGGGCGGUGCACGCACCCGUGAUCAGGCCAGCAUCGGUUCAGGCGGCCGGAUAAAGGCCUUGGGAAUGUAGCUUCUUUCGGGGAGUGUUAUAGCCCUCGGUGCAAUGCGGCCAGCCCGGACCGAGGACCGCGCUUCGGCAAGGAUGCUGGCGUAAUGGUUGUAAGCGGCCCGUCUUGAAACACGGACCAAGGAGUCUAACAUCUAUGCGAGUGUUUGGGUGUCAAACCCAUGCGCGUAAUGAAAGUGAACGGAGGUGGGAACCCUUAAGGGCGCACCAUCGACCGAUCCAGAUGUCUUCGGAUGGAUUUGAGUACGAGCAUAGCUGUUGGGACCCGAAAGAUGGUGAACUAUGCCUGAAUAGGGUGAAGCCAGAGGAAACUCUGGUGGAGGCUCGCAGCGGUUCUGACGUGCAAAUCGAUCGUCAAAUUUAGGCAUAGGGGCGAAAG
rnacentral:rRNA from 1 species